GAUGAACGCUGGCGGCGUGCCUAAUACAUGCAAGUCGAGCGAACAGACGAGGAGUUUGCUCCUCUGACGUUAGCGGCGGACGGGUGAGUAACACGUGGAUAACCUACCUAUAAGACUGGGAUAACUUCGGGAAACCGGAGCUAAUACCGGAUAAUAUAUUGAACCGCAUGGUUCAAUAGUGAAAGACGGUUUUGCUGUCACUUAUAGAUGGAUCCGCGCCGCAUUAGCUAGUUGGUAAGGUAACGGCUUACCAAGGCAACGAUGCGUAGCCGACCUGAGAGGGUGAUCGGCCACACUGGAACUGAGACACGGUCCAGACUCCUGCGGGAGGCAGCAGUAGGGAAUCUUCCGCAAUGGGCGAAAGCCUGACGGAGCAACGCCGCGUGAGUGAUGAAGGUCUUCGGAUCGUAAAACUCUGUUAUUAGGGAGAAACAAAUGUGUAAGUAACUAUGCACGUCUUGACGGUACCUAAUCAGAAAGCCACGGCUAACUACGUG
rnacentral:rRNA from 1 species